rnacentral:rRNA from 1 species
UCGCUCCUACGGGAGGCAGCAGUGAGGAAUAUUGGUCAAUGGGCGGAAGCCUGAACCAGCCAAGUCGCGUGAGGGAAUAAGGCCCUACGGGUCGUAAACCUUUUUUGCCGGGGAGCAAGGGCGGGGACGUGUCCCGGCCCGGAGAGUACCCGGAGAAAAAGCAUCGGCUAACUCCGUGCCAGCAGCCGCGGUAAUACGGAGGAUGCGAGCGUUAUCCGGAUUUAUUGGGUUUAAAGGGUGCGUAGGCGGGCUUUUAAGUCAGCGGUAAAACUCAGGGGCUCAACCCCG